AACACACAGAUAAUGAAUUGCACUGUUCUACUAAUGACUUGGGGGUGUGGAACCAUCCUUCCUAACUUGUAUUCUUCCAGAGACCAUACACCAGGCAAUUAAUACUGUCAUUGCAUACCAAGGAUCCUAACCCCACUAUGAUCAGAGCACUUGAAUAAUUUGCCUUUCAGCUAUACUGAGAGCAAAACCAGGCUACGACUGAGACCAGAUUCCCAAGUUGCAGUUACAAUGAUCAACACUGAAUGAUCAGACUCCCUUGUUAAGUGCUUCAUUGUUAUCCUCUGCAUGGUGAGCAGCAGGGCAAGAAACUCUGCAAAAUAUUGCAACUGCAGCACCCUCAGCGCUGUGCCAGGAUUCAUCCCGAAUGUGGGAAUGGCCACGUCCCAGCUAGCGCCAGAUCCUUCACGUGUAUCCUGGAAUUCCUGUUCCCUGCUCAGGCACUGACUCCCAGGUCCUCAGUGCUCCUUCCAUUGCCAGCGUUCACCAUUGCUCUUUGCUGCAGUUUUAGAUGUGUCCUUUUGCCUGCUCUGGAAAUGUAUGUACUGUGGAACCUGAAAUAUCCCUCUGGCAAGCAGUGAGCGCUGCUCCCUUCAGCAGAGAACCCAGGGCAGCCAGCACUUUCCUCGACCUGGCCAGGAGGAGCUUCUCCAGCAGGUGAAGGAUCGUGGCUCAGCCAGGAGAAAGGCUAUAUGUACAUUUUAUUUUGUUACUUGAUAGAAUUAGUUGUUCCUCGCUUACUGCCGCAGUAUGAACUGUG